GCACCACAACAGGUGGAGCCUGCGGUUUAAUCGGACUCAACGCCGGGAAACUCACCAGAUAAGACAGCUGAAUGAUAGUCGGGCUGAAGACUCUACUUGACUAGCUGAGAGGAGGUGCAUGGCCGUCGUCAGUUCGUACUGUGAAGCAUCCUGUUAAGUCAGGCAACGAGCGAGACCCACGCCAACAGUUGCCAGCUCGUCCUCCGGGAUGGUGGGGACACUGUUGGGACCGCCUCUGCUAAAGAGGAGGAAGGAAUGGGCAACGGUAGGUCAGCAUGCCCCGAAUUAUCUGGGCUACACGCGGGCUACAAUGGGUGGGACAAUGGGUAUCGACACCGAAAGGUGAAGGCAAUCUCCUAAACCCAUCCGUAGUUCGGAUUGUGGGCUGCAACUCGCCCACAUGAAGCUGGAAUCUGUAGUAAUCGUGUCUCAAAAUGGCACGGUGAAUAUGUCCCUGCUCCUC
rnacentral:rRNA from 1 species